AGAGUUUGAUCAUGGCUCAGGACGAACGCUGGCGGCGUGCCUAAUACAUGCAAGUCGAGCGAAUUGAUGGGAGCUUGCUCCCUGAUAUUAGCGGCGGACGGGUGAGUAACACGUGGGUAACCUGCCUGUAAGAUUGGGAUAACUCCGGGAAACCGGAGCUAAUACCGGAUAACAUUUUGAACCGCAUGGUUCAAAAUUGAAAGAUGGUUUCGGCUAUCACUUACAGAUGGACCCGCGGCGCAUUAGCUAGUUGGUGAGGUAACGGCUCACCAAGGCAACGAUGCGUAGCCGACCUGAGAGGGUGAUCGGCCACACUGGGACUGAGACACGGCCCAGACUCCUACGGGAGGCAGCAGUAGGGAAUCUUCCGCAAUGGACGAAAGUCUGACGGAGCAACGCCGCGUGAACGAUGAAGGCCUUCGGGUCGUAAAGUUCUGUUGUUAGGGAAGAACAAGUACCAGAGUAACUGCUGGUACCUGACGGUACCUAACCAGAAAGCCACGGCUAACUACGUGCCAGCAGCCGCGGUA
rnacentral:rRNA from 1 species